GGGACACGUGGUAUCCUGUCUGAAUAUGGGGGGACCAUCCUCCAAGGCUAAAUACUCCUGACUGACCGAUAGUGAACCAGUACCGUGAGGGAAAGGCGAAAAGAACCCCGGCGAGGGGAGUGAAAAAGAACCUGAAACCGUGUACGUACAAGCAGUGGGAGCACGCUUAGGCGUGUGACUGCGUACCUUUUGUAUAAUGGGUCAGCGACUUAUAUUCUGUAGCAAGGUUAACCGAAUAGGGGAGCCGAAGGGAAACCGAGUCUUAACUGGGCGUUAAGUUGCAGGGUAUAGACCCGAAACCCGGUGAUCUAGCCAUGGGCAGGUUGAAGGUUGGGUAACACUAACUGGAGGACCGAACCGACUAAUGUUGAAAAAUUAGCGGAUGACUUGUGGCUGGGGGUGAAAGGCCAAUCAAACCGGGAGAUAGCUGGUUCUCCCCGAAAGCUAUUUAGGUAGCGCCUCGUGAAUUCAUCUCCGGGGGUAGAGCACUGUUUCGGCAAGGGGGUCAUCCCGACUUACCAACCCGAUGCAAACUGCGAAUACCGGAGAAUGUUAUCACGGGAGACACACGGCGGGUGCUAACGUCCGUCGUGAAGAGGGAAACAACCCAGACCGCCAGCUAAGGUCCCAAAGUCAUGGUUAAGUGGGAAACGAUGUGGGAAGGCCCAGACAGCCAGGAUGUUGGCUUAGAAGCAGCCAUCAUUUAAAGAAAGCGUAAUAGCUCACUGGUCGAGUCGGCCUGCGCGGAAGAUGUAACGGGGCUAAACCAUGCACCGAAGCUGCGGCAGCGACGCUUAUGCGUUGUUGGGUAGGGGAGCGUUCUGUAAGCCUGCGAAGGUGUGCUGUGAGGCAUGCUGGAGGUAUCAGAAGUGCGAAUGCUGACAUAAGUAACGAUAAAGCGGGUGAAAAGCCCGCUCGCCGGAAGACCAAGGGUUCCUGUCCAACGUUAAUCGGGGCAGGGUGAGUCGACCCCUAAGGCGAGGCCGAAAGGCGUAGUCGAUGGGAAACAGGUUAAUAUUCCUGUACUUGGUGUUACUGCGAAGGGGGGACGGAGAAGGCUAUGUUGGCCGGGCGACGGUUGUCCCGGUUUAAGCGUGUAGGCUGGUUUUCCAGGCAAAUCCGGAAAAUCAAGGCUGAGGCGUGAUGACGAGGCACUACGGUGCUGAAGCAACAAAUGCCCUGCUUCCAGGAAAAGCCUCUAAGCAUCAGGUAACAUCAAAUCGUACCCCAAACCGACACAGGUGGUCAGGUAGAGAAUACCAAGGCGCUUGAGAGAACUCGGGUGAAGGAACUAGGCAAAAUGGUGCCGUAACUUCGGGAGAAGGCACGCUGAUAUGUAGGUGAAGCGACUUGCUCGUGGAGCUGAAAUCAGUCGAAGAUACCAGCUGGCUGCAACUGUUUAUUAAAAACACAGCACUGUGCAAACACGAAAGUGGACGUAUACGGUGUGACGCCUGCCCGGUGCCGGAAGGUUAAUUGAUGGGGUCAGCGCAAGCGAAGCUCUUGAUCGAAGCCCCGGUAAACGGCGGCCGUAACUAUAACGGUCCUAAGGUAGCGAAAUUCCUUGUCGGGUAAGUUCCGACCUGCACGAAUGGCGUAAUGAUGGCCAGGCUGUCUCCACCCGAGACUCAGUGAAAUUGAACUCGCUGUGAAGAUGCAGUGUACCCGCGGCAAGACGGAAAGACCCCGUGAACCUUUACUAUAGCUUGACACUGAACAUUGAGCCUUGAUGUGUAGGAUAGGUGGGAGGCUUUGAAGUGUGGACGCCAGUCUGCAUGGAGCCGACCUUGAAAUACCACCCUUUAAUGUUUGAUGUUCUAACGUUGACCCGUAAUCCGGGUUGCGGACAGUGUCUGGUGGGUAGUUUGACUGGGGCGGUCUCCUCCUAAAGAGUAACGGAGGAGCACGAAGGUUGGCUAAUCCUGGUCGGACAUCAGGAGGUUAGUGCAAUGGCAUAAGCCAGCUUGACUGCGAGCGUGACGGCGCGAGCAGGUGCGAAAGCAGGUCAUAGUGAUCCGGUGGUUCUGAAUGGAAGGGCCAUCGCUCAACGGAUAAAAGGUACUCCGGGGAUAACAGGCUGAUACCGCCCAAGAGUUCAUAUCGACGGCGGUGUUUGGCACCUCGAUGUCGGCUCAUCACAUCCUGGGGCUGAAGUAGGUCCCAAGGGUAUGGCUGUUCGCCAUUUAAAGUGGUACGCGAGCUGGGUUUAGAACGUCGUGAGACAGUUCGGUCCCUA
rnacentral:rRNA from 1 species